rnacentral:rRNA from 1 species
AUUGCCCUAGUAACGGCGAGUGAAGCGGCAACAGCUCAAUUUGAAAUCUGGCCUCGGCCCGAGUUGUAAUUUGCAGAGGAAGCUUUAGGCGCGGCACCUUCUGAGUCCCCUGGAACGGGGCGCCACAGAGGGUGAGAGCCCCGUAUAGUUGGAUGCCUAGCCUGUGUAAAGCUCCUUCGACGAGUCGAGUAGUUUGGGAAUGCUGCUCAAAAUGGGAGGUAAAUUUCUUCUAAAGCUAAAUACCGGCCAGAGACCGAUAGCGCACAAGUAGAGUGAUCGAAAGAUGAAAAGCACUUUGAAAAGAGGGUUAAAUAGCACGUGAAAUUGUUGAAAGGGAAGCGCUUGUGACCAGACUUGCGCCGGGCUGAUCAUCCGGUGUUCUCACCGGUGCACUCUGCCCGGCUCAGGCCAGCAUCGGUUCUCGCGGGGGGAUAAAGGCCCAGGGAACGUAGCUCCUCCGGGAGUGUUAUAGCCCUGGGUGUAAUGCCCUCGCGGGGACCGAGGUUCGCGCAUCUGCAAGGAUGCUGGCGUAAUGGUCACCAGCGACCCGUCUUGAAACACGGACCAAGGAGUCAAGGUUUUGCGCGAGUGUUUGGGUGUAAAACCCGCACGCGUAAUGAAAGUGAACGUAGGUGAGAGCUUCGGCGCAUCAUCGACCGAUCCUGAUGUUUUCGGAUGGAUUUGAGUAGGAGCGUUAAGCCUUGGACCCGAAAGAUGGUGAACUAUGCUUGGAUAGGGUGAAGCCAGAGGAAACUCUGGUGGAGGCUCGCAGCGGUUCUGACGUGCAAAUCGAUCGUCAAAUCUGAGCAUGGGGGCGAAAGACUAAU